AGAGAUUUCCCCUUCUCUGUUUCAGAUAUGAUCCCAGGGGACUGCUAUUGUCAUCUUGACCCUGUAAAGACAGUGAGGCUGAGGACAAGGCCCCCCGACCAAGAGGGCAGCGCUAAGAGAAGGAGACAGAGCCAGAUACUGCAGUGUCUACAACCACGCUUGGAGACACAUCAUUGUGUUCUGUCACACCAACCAGCCUGCACCAGAGACACAGGAAUCUUGAUCUUCUGGCAGAAAACUCUUCCAAAACAUUCCUAUGUGACACUGCUCAUGUAUAGGUGCUCCAAACCAAAUGUCCAGUUGCUUCCACCAUUGUGCAAAAAUGGGAGACCCUGCCGAGCAGCAGAUGGCCCUCAGCACGGCUGACACUCAGGCCAGGCCCCAGGUGGCAGCUCUCAGAACACACUGUCCAGCUAAACCCUGCACAGACUGGCCGUUGAAAAUACCUGGUGUUCACAUUCCCCAAAAGUUGGGCAAAUGACAGGGUCACCCAGUGCACUUCAUGGGGUCAGUGGGGAGAACCAGCAUUUCAGCACAAGUUCACAAAUCACUGGGUCCCCCUUGUCAAACACUGCAAAUAUGUAGCAUGCUAAGAAAAAUCUCCUUACCUCUCAGACUCUGUAUCACUCAGUUCAUCUGAGUUGCUACAAUGGACAAUAAAAUCUAAUAAGUUAAAAUGAGGUAUGGAAUGCUCAGGAGAAAAACAACAAGGACUAGUACUCCUCAUCUGAGUAAAUAAUUUCUCUCACAGGGUUAAUUUUAGCUUUGCAAGUUUUUUAUUUGAGAUUAUAUUUUAAAUCACAAUUUGUGCACGUGUGAUUUAAAAUAAAAAAGGCAAUCAAGUCUUUCUGCCAGUCUAGGUGAUGUGAAAUUUAAUUAUCGAGCAGUUAUCAUUAAAAUAAACGCAAAGCAAUUUUUUAGACAUAAUUGAAUAUUCCAGAAGAAAAUUUCUGAAAAAUCCAAAGGUCCAAAAGAAAACUUCUCAGUGAGAAUGUCUGUUUCAGUAAGAUACCCUGUUUUGUAGUAUUGGAUGCAGAGAAUUUCUAGUUAGACAUACAUAAGUCUUGCCAGAAUUACUAUAGUUCAGUUUUGCCACCUGCAUCUAGAAAUAUGGAAGACUUAUCUACGUUACUGGUUUUGACUCCCCAAUAAUGAGUAAUGAAAAUUCCUAUUUAUCAUUUCUACAUCAACAUCAGUGUGAUAGCAGAAAACAGCAUGAUUUACCUGGCCCACAAUACUGUUGUAUAGAAUUUAAAGAAAUAAAUACCUCAAUCCAUUCAGGAAUGUUCUUUUCCCAA
rnacentral:lncRNA from 10 species